AUAAGUCAGUGUUCUCUUCCUCUCUUUCCCCUUCGUACCUAUUGUAUAAUGGAGGUGAAAAUUGUGUAAAUAUGUAAAAUGAUAUAACAAAUUUACAUCAAUAUAUGUAACUAAUGUGUCUACAAAUUUGAUUUUUCAAGUACCCCAACUACUUCUUUCAGUGUACAUGAAUUUACUGAAAUUAGUUUCCAGCUUUUCAUAUUGUUGAAAUACAGUAAUUUCUAAUGGUAUGGUAAUGUCAAUUAAUCCAGCCGAAGAGAAACUAUGCAAUCCUUUUCCAUGCCUACUAUAUGGUAAUGUCAAUGAAUUCGAAAAUCUAAUAUUUUUCCUCUUUUGCUUGCAGUUCAUUGUUGGUGGAAACUGGAAGUUGGGAUUGUAUAAUGUAUUCUUUGGUGGAAACUGGAAGUGUGUAAGAAUAAUAGAUGAUGGAGGAAGUGGAAAAGGAUUCUUGGGUGGACUACCAAAAUGUCAAUGUGGAGUCCAAUAUGAAUGUAGUUGAAGAUCGAACAAUGGGAGGAGAUGAAGUGAUUGUGUCGGAGGUUGGUAUGAAGUUCAAGGACGAAAAUGAAGUCUAUAAUUUUUACAAAUUAUAUGCUUACAACGUAGGUUUUUCUGUGAGAAAAAGGAAUUCGAAAAAGGACGAUGAUGGAGUUUUGCGAUACGUGACUUUCACAUGUGGCUAGCUGUAAAGGUCAAAGAAGUAGUGGCACUAGCAUUUCUUUGAAGCCACAGCCUACAAUUCAGACGGGUUGUAAAGCCAGAAUCUCGGCGUCUGUGGAUAAUCAUGGCUACUAAAAAAUUAACACGGUACACCUCGACCACAAUCACAAAACAAGUCCAACGAAAUCAAGAUUUUAUAGAUGCAAUCGAGAAGUAAGCACGUCUGUGAAAUGGAGGCUUGAAGUGAAUGACAUGGCUAGAAUUCCAUUACAUAAAAGUUUCAAUUAUGCAGGUGUUGAAGCCGGUGGAUAUAAAAAUAUGACAUGUAUUGAAAAGGAUUGUUGAAACUACUUUGAACAAGUUAGGCGAUUAAGCCUUGGUGAGGGAGAUGCGGCCACAAUACAGUCCCGUUUCUUAGAAAUGUAGGUACAUUCAGCAGAAUUUUACUUCUACAUAGAUUUGGAUGAUGAUUCGCGGUUAAAAAAUGUAUUUUGGGCAAAUAAUCGGUGUAAGGAUGCAUAUAAGGAGUUUGGGGACGUCUUGACAUUUGAUAUCACUUACCUGACUAAUAGAUAUGAUAUGUCAUUCGCACCUUUUGUUGGCGUCAAUCACCAUGGACAAUCAACACUUUUGGGUUGUGCUUUAGUCUGUAAUGAGAACACGAAUACAUUUGUGUGGCUUUUCAGGACAUGGCUCAAGUGUAUGAGGGGUCAAGCUCUGCAUGGAAUAAUUAUGGAUCAAGAUAGGGCUAUGCAAAAUGCCAUCCAGAUAAUUUUUCCAAAUACACAGCAUAGAUGGUGCUUAUGGCACAUUCUUAAGACGUUGCCCGAGAAAUUUGGAUACCAUAUUAACAAGGGUUCAGUAUUCUCAGCAAUACAUGGUUUGGUGUAUGAUUCUCAGACAGUUGAAGAAUUUGAACAAGGUUGGGGAUCGAUAAUUGAAAUAUUUGAGUUGCAUGACAAUGAAUGGUUGUCGGGAUUGUAUGAGAACAGAGGUCGUUGAGUCCCCUGCUUCUUGAAAACAAGUUUUUGGGCUGGAAUGUCAACAAUACAGCGGAGUGAAAGCAUGAACUCAUUUUUCGGUGGGUAUGUACAUGUGAAGAAUUCGUUGAACAGUAUGAGCGAGCGUUGAGGUGCAAGGUGGAAAAAAAGUUCCAGACUGACUUCGUUCUCACAAAUGAUUCCGUGUGCAACAACAUAUGAAAUGGAAAAACAAUUCCAAACAGUCUACACAUUUUCAAAAUUCAAAGAAGUUCAAGCUGAGUUUACGGUAAGAUUUACUGCGACCUUAUUUCUGCCUUGGAGGGAUGUUUUGGGACGACUUAUGAGAUACGAGAGGAUGUCAUUUGUAAUGAUCGACGUGAAAAGAAAACAUUUUUUGUCUCAUUCCAGAGUGAGAAAUGUGAGGUCGUUUGCAGCUACCAUUUGUUCGAGUUUCGGGGGAUCAUUUGCAGGCAUGCAAUUGCAGUACUAAUCCAUAACAAUGUCACCGUACUACCAGAUGGGUAUAUACUACAUAGGUGGAGGAGGGAUGUCAAUCAGCCAUACACGAGGAUCGUAAUAAAAUAUGCCAGUCUGGUCAGUACUCUAGGAGAAAUAAGGUGUGAUAAUAUGUGUCAAGCAUUCUCCAAGAUAGCAAACCUCACGGCUAUUAAUGAAUGAAAGAUUGCGUAUAAAUUAAAUCAAUUGAAGCAGCCGGGCGUGUUCAUUGAAGACAAAUGAGGAUAGGCGAGACCGGAAGAAAUAGGUACCUUAAACAUGACUACGACGACUACCGGUGGGCGACAAUCGAAAGAAAUUGGUUCCUUACUCACGACGACGCGAAUAACCGGAAGAAAUUGGUACACGCGACGACGAGUACUUCGACUGCUUGACUGUAUCUAACUCUACCCACCCCACCAAUGUUCAACGGGCUCGAUCGGUUAUCAGCGACGGCGAAGAUGAGGGAAAGAAGGAAGGGUUUUAAUCUGGGAGGAAGGAAGGAAGGAAGGAAGGAAGAUGUGCGAGAGAGAGAGAGAGAGAUUCUAUGGGUUUCUCUAGGGAAAAUUAGUUUCGUGCUUUUUUGGUUUUUAAAAUUUCAAGAAGUUCCACAUCAGUUUGUCAAGGAGUG
rnacentral:lncRNA from 1 species